AUUGAACGCUGUCUGCAGGCUUAACACAUGCAAGUCGAACGAGUGGCGGACGGGUGAGUAAUUCUUGGGCAUCUAGCUUAUGGCGGGGGAUAACUACGUGAAACUGUAGCUAAUACCGCGUACCAUAGGAUGAGCCCAAGUGGGAUUCGGUAGUUGGUGAGGUAAAGGCUCACCAAGCCGACGAUCUCUAGCUGGCCUGAGAGGAGGACCAGCCAGACUGGUACUGAGAAACGGCCCAGACUCCUACGGGAGGCAACAGUGGGGAAUAUUGCGCAAUGGGGGCAACCUGACGAAGCCAUGCCGCGUGAAGGAAGAAGGCCUUCGGGUUGUAAAGGUCUUUCGGUAGCGAGGCGUUAACGACAGAAGAAGCACCGGCUAACUCAGUGCCAGCAGCCGAGGUAAUAC
rnacentral:rRNA from 1 species